UACGAAGGGUGCUAGCGUUGUUCGGAAUCACUGGGCGUAAAGCGCGCGUAGGCGGCUUCUCAAGUCAGGGGUGAAAUCCUUGGGCUCAACCCAAGAAUUGCCUCUGAAACUGUGGAGCUGGAGUACUGGAGGGGAUAGCGGAAUUGCUAAUGUAGAGGUGAAAUUCGUAGAUAUUAGCAGGAACACCGGUGGCGAAGGCGGCUAUCUGGACAGUAACUGACGCUGAGGCGCGAAAGUGUGGGGAUCAAAC
rnacentral:rRNA from 1 species